AAUGCAUCCCAGCACCAAGUUGCAUCUGCUGCACUCGCAGUGCUGGACAACGCUAGAAGAAAAUCAAAGCUGCGCUUUGGAGAUACAAAGCGGAAACCAUUAAUUUGGCCAGGUUGCUUCAUUUGGUCUUUUAAUUUCAGCCGGAGCAAAAGAAAUAAACAGUGAAAUUUAGCAGCAGGCGAUUUGAGCCGUUCUUAGGCCUAAUGUUCUGGAAACAACAUGAAACCGAGUCAAUGGCGAGCUAAAUCUUGGUUUCGGGUGCAGUUUCAGCUUACAGCUGGCUUUAUCGCACCAGCUCCAACUCGGACGCCAUCAUCUGCAGAAGCAGCUGAAGCUCCAGCUGAAGCCCCAGCUGGCAGCGGUGAAAGGCCUGAAGUGAUCAAUAAGUACCAGGGAGCUCGACGAUCCUCAGGCCACGGAACUCGAGUGCCCCGAAAUGUGUGCCUAUUAAACAGUCAUCAAUGAUUGUUACAUUCUACAAAUAGAAAACGGCGGAGCCGUCGGGAGAGAAUGCUUGGAGCAACAGCAGCAGCGAAGGAGAUCAAUCCGGCGAUCGUUUGGCAGAUCUAUGAGUCAUGAUCCGCGGAUCGACUUGAGCGAUCGAUCAAUAAGAUAUUUUAGAAACUGGCGCAAACUAUUACUAUUAUUGAGAUAUAAUUCCGGUGUGUGGGGCUUCUAA